GCCCGGCUGGCACAAUUGGUUAGCGCGUGGGCCUUUUAAGACAUUCAAACGUCCAAAGAGCAGCCCAAGGUUGAGAGUUCGAGCCUCUCGUCGGGCG
rnacentral:tRNA from 1 species